ensembl:lncRNA
UCCCUCAUCUUCAUGCAGGAUCUUCUUCCCUUUUUGUUGCUGGAGGACAACAUGAACUCCUCCUGCUAACUCCUGGACCUUUCUUUAGUCCGUCUUUCUGAGCUAUGAGGCCAGCAGAAGCUCCCGUGUAUCCUGCUCUCUGUGGGACAACACCCAUUGCAGUGGGCAGGGGCUGGGUCCCUCUGUGUGAAGAAGCGGCAGAGGAGAACUAGCUAGAAGGGCUGGAAAGGCAUACUGGGGAACCUCCUGCUAUGAUAAGAGCAGUAACUGCUUUUGUAUACCAACCAAAUGGAAACUGAAAACUCUAUAAUAAAACCAACAGUAAGUGACUUUCAGAUCAGAAAACAGGUUUGCAAGACACAGUUUGUGAGCACGCCAUGGAAUGCAAACUGCCUCAUGUUUUUUGGGGUCAGAGGAGGAAGCCAUCCCUCCCAUCUACAAAGAUCAGCUUGGGUUUUACUAACUUCUGUGCAGGCAGAUGCUCGCAUCUCCAGCAGGGAGGCCAAACCUCUGAUGACGAUUCUCUUCUUCUGGUCAAAAUGUCAUCUCCAGCAUCUGCUACCUGACCCUAACUGCAGAAGAGCUUUAUUCGCUGGAACAGCAGUUUUUUCCAACUCAUGCAAGAGACUUUUCUCCAGAAUGGGCUUUUAUUUAAAGAAAACUCUCAGAGAAUUCUUACCACUUGGAUUCUAACAUAGCAUCUCCACAGAGCAAGGAGGCUUAUAAAGAAGAUGUAAUACUUGUGGGAAAUUUGUGUCAUCGUAAAGCAGUAAAGGAAUGAGGGGAGGAGUGUGUGUAAACUGUUUAUAGUUGCUGUUUUGAUGCUAAAUUAUUAUUUUGCUGUUGGAAAUUCUUUUUGUUGAUGUAAGUUGUGAAGUUUAGGUGAUGAAUCUUCAUAAAGGUACAUUUUCAUAGUAAUGUAAAUAAUGUUUCAGCAUAUUUCUAUCAUGAGUUUUUGAACACCCAUGUCUCACACUGGUGUCACCUUCAGUGGAUGGCAAAUUCUGAGACACUUCUGCCUAAGCUUUUAAUGAAAAUAAAC